AACACAUGCAAGUCUACGAGAAUAAGGUAGCAAUAUCUUUAGUAAAGUGGCGCACGGGUGAGUAACACGUAAGUAAUCUACCCUUAGAUUUGGAAUAACCCCGAGAAAUCUGGGCUAAUACCAAAUAAUGCAGCGGCAUCGCAUGAUGAUGUUGUUAAAGUCUAGAUGGCGUCUAAGGAUGAGCUUGCGUCUGAUUAGCUAGUUGGUGAGGUAACGGCUCACCAAAGCUACGAUCAGUAGCUGGUCUGAGAGGAUGAUCAGCCACACUGGAACUGAGACACGGUCCAGACUCCUACGGGAGGCAGCAGUGAGGAAUAUUGGGCAAUGCCCGAAAGGGUGACCCAGCAACGCCGCGUGGAGGAUGAAAGCCGUAAGGUUGUAAACUCCUGUUAGAGGGGAAGAACAAUUCCGAUCGAAUCGGGACUUGACUGUACCCUCAGAGAAAGCCCCGGCUAACUACGUG
rnacentral:rRNA from 1 species